rnacentral:lncRNA from 1 species
CUUUACUGAGAUCUUCUUGGUCAUUAUUCUCUGAUAUAAUGAGAAUGUCAGAUAUAGAACCAUCCAUCCUCAUCAGGAAGCCAUGGCAAACUCGGGAAAAGGAUUACUGCAGAGAAGUAUCCAUGUAAGGAGGGGUAGAUUUUCCUUGGAAUGGCCAAGAUUCCAUCUUAAGGACUUGAGCUGACAUCCACAAUGAGAGAUCAGAAAAGGAAUACACCAUCGAUAAUGCACAUCCACUGGGACACACUAUGGGGAGAACAGAGGAACAAGACCCUGGAAGAACUAAUGAGCAAUUCCUACCUUGAAGGCCUCUGCAUUGUGAUCUUUGCCAAAAACUUCUACUGGAACUUUAAUACGUUGAGAACUUUUGGUUGGAUCGGUAUUUAA